rnacentral:rRNA from 1 species
GACGAACGCUGGCGGCGUGCUUAACACAUGCAAGUCGAACGGAAAGGCCCUGCUUUUGUGGGGUGCUCGAGUGGCGAACGGGUGAGUAACACGUGAGUAACCUGCCCUUGACUUUGGGAUAACUUCAGGAAACUGGGGCUAAUACCGGAUAGGAGCUCCUGCUGCAUGGUGGGGGUUGGAAAGUUUCGGCGGUUGGGGAUGGACUGGCGGCUUAUCAGCUUGUUGGUGGGGUAGUGGCUUACCAAGGCUUUGACGGGUAGCCGGCCUGAGAGGGUGGCCGGCGACAAGGGGACUGCGAUACGGCGCAGACGGGUACGGGAGGCAGCAGGGGGGAAUAUGGCACAGUGAGCGGAAGCCUGAUGCGGCGACGCCGCGUGCGUGAUGACGGCCUUCUGGUUGUAAACCGCUUUCGCCUGUGACGAAGCGUGAGUGACGGUAAUGGGUAAAGAAGCACCGGCUAACUACGUG